CGGACGGGUGAGUAAUGUCUGGGAAAUUGCCCGAUGGAGGGGGAUAACUACUGGAAACGGUAGCUAAUACCGCAUAACGUCGCAAGACCAAAGAGGGGGACCUUCGGGCCUCUUGCCAUCGGAUGUGCCCAGAUGGGAUUAGCUAGUAGGUGGGGUAACGGCUCACCUAGGCGACGAUCCCUAGCUGGUCUGAGAGGAUGACCAGCCACACUGGAACUGAGACACGGUCCAG
rnacentral:rRNA from 1 species